CAUUAGAGAAGCUGUUCUAGCAUUAACCUUUUAAGUUAAAGACUGGGAACCUAAAACUCCCCUCAAUGAAA